GACGAACGCUGGCGGCGUGCUUAACACAUGCAAGUCGAACGAAGAGCGAUGGAAGCUUGCUUCUAUCAAUCUUAGUGGCGAACGGGUGAGUAACGCGUAAUCAACCUGCCCUUCAGAAGGGGACAACAGUUGGAAACGACUGCUAAUACCGCAUACGAUCUAAUCUCGGCAUCGAGGAAAGAUGAAAGGUGGCCUCUAUGUAUAAGCUAUCACUGAAGGAGGGGAUUGCGUCUGAUUAGCUAGUUGGAGGGGUAACGGCCCACCAAGGCGAUGAUCAGUAGCCGGUCUGAGAGGAUGAACGGCCACAUUGGGACUGAGACACGGCCCAGACUCCUACGGGAGGCAGCAGUGGGGAAUCCUCCGCAAUGGACGAAAGUCUGACGGAGCAACGCCGCGUGAGUGAUGACGGCCUUCGGGUUGUAAAGCUCUGUUAAUCGGGACGAAAGGCCUUC
rnacentral:rRNA from 1 species